CACGUAGGGGACGAGCGUUGUCCGGAUUCAUUGGGCGUAAAGCGCGCGUAGGCGGCCCGGCAAGUCGGAUGUGAAAACCUGGGGCUCAACCCCAGGCGUGCACCCGAUACUCCCGGGCUGGAGGCAGGUAGGGGAGAUCGGAAUUCCUGGUGUAGCGGUGAAAUGCGCAGAUAUCAGGAGGAACACCGGUGGCGAAGGCGGAUCUCUGGGCCGUGCCUGACGCUGAGGCGCGAAAGCUAGGGGAGCGAACAGG
rnacentral:rRNA from 1 species